AUGUUUGUUAAAAUAGCAUCUCGAGCUACAGAAUCUGAUGAAACAUACUUAAUGGCUGCCAACAAUGCACAAAAGUUAGCAGAAGAUGUGGAGAAAUACUUGAGUAUAAGGCCUGAUCCAGAUUUGGAUAAAUCUGGCACAGAGGAAAAUGUUGACCCGAGUAAAGCAAGAGGCAUAAAGGUUAAGGAGAAAGCCAUUCGUGGGUCGAGGAGACCAAUUGGUGGUUUUGACAAGGCAACACAACGGAGUAAAAAGAAAAAGAGUGAUUCAAACACAUCAAAGUGUCCAGUACAAGCAGAGGUG
rnacentral:lncRNA from 1 species